rnacentral:rRNA from 1 species
GUGCAGCAGGCGCGAAUACUUUACAAUGUGCGAAAGCACGAUAAGGGAACUCUGAGUGCCUCCUAAGGAGGCUGUUCAGGUGUCUAAAAAGCACCUGGAGUAAGGGCUGGGUAAGACCGGUGCCAGCCGCCGCGGUAACACCGGCAGCCCAGGUGGUAGCCACUUUUAUGGGUCUAAAGCGUCCGUAGCCGGUUGAGUAAGUUCCUUGGGAAAUUUGGCUGCUCAACAGUCAAGCUUCCAGGGAAUACUGCUCGACUUGGGACUGGGAGAGGUCAGAGGUACUCCAGGGGUAGGGUGAAAUCCAUUAAUCCCUGGGGACCACCGGUAGCGAAGGCGUCUGACCAGACCAGGUCCGACGGUGAGGGA